GUCGACCAUGUGAUACGGCCACAUGAAUCAGAUUAUACAAGACCUAAAUAAUAAACAAAUUCAUAAGAAUACCAAAAGAAUUAUAAAAGUUCAACCAUAUUUAUCAAAUCAAACCAAUCCAUCAUUAUUGAAUAAGGUUCAUAAGAUUAAAAUAUUUAUUUGAUAUUAGAAAAUCAACUAACUAACUACUCCAUCGCUCGAACUCCACA
rnacentral:lncRNA from 1 species